rnacentral:rRNA from 1 species
UACAGAGGUCCCAAGCGUUGUUCGGAUUCAUUGGGCGUAAAGGGUGCGUAGGCGGCGCGGUAAGUCGGGUUUGAAAUCUCGGGGCUUAACUCCGAAACUGCAUUCGAUACUGCCGUGCUUGAGGACUGGAGAGGAGACUGGAAUUUACGGUGUAGCGGUGAAAUGCGUAGAUAUCGUAAGGAAGACCAGUGGCGAAGGCGGGUCUCUGGACAGUUCCUGACGCUGAGGCACGAAGGCCAGGGGAGCAAACGGG